rnacentral:piRNA from 1 species
UGUGAUUAAAAAGAAAUGACCAAAACUAAC